rnacentral:rRNA from 1 species
UGUCUACAACACCUGGGAUUCCCAGGCCGUCUCCGAUCCAAGUACUAACCAGGCCCAACGUUGCUUAACUUGACAGACCCGACGAGAUGUCGUGCUUUCAACGUGGUAUGGUCGUAGAC